CAGCAGUAGCCGCGGUAAUACGAAGGGUGCAAGCGUUACUCGGAAUUACUGGGCGUAAAGCGUGCGUAGGCGGUGGUUUAAGUCCGUUGUGAAAGCCCUGGGCUCAACCUGGGAAUUGCAGUGGAUACUGGGUCACUAGAGUGUGGUAGAGGAUAGUGGAAUUUCCGGUGUAGCAGUGAAAUGCGUAGAGAUCGGAAGGAACAUCUGUGGCGAAGGCGACUAUCUGGGCCAACACUGACACUGAGGCACGAAAGCGUGGGGAGCAAACAGGAUUAGAUACCCGCGUAGUCCCUGUCUCUUAUAC
rnacentral:rRNA from 1 species